CCACAGGAAGAGUGACUCAGGGUCUGUCCAUGUUCAUCGUGACACCAGGACAAGUGAGGCUCCUAACAUCUGGAGGCUCAUAACAUCUCCUAGGACCCAGAUAACAUGGGUAGACUUUGACUUUCAGCAUGUGGUUUCCCAUUUCCAAUGACUCCCACCGAGUGUUUGGUUCGCUCUGGUCUGUAUUUCAAAAUGGCCUCAGCAAGGACGACUUCACAUCUCGGACACAAGGCUGCACCGUCUCCCGGGGACCCACACACUGAAGCACACGCCGCACACUGCUGCUGAGGGGCUCUCCGCAGACUGCGCAUUACUGGUUUGUCUGGGUCUAAUUUGGGCCCCAGUGCACCCUGGGUAGAGACUCUUUCAUUUCACAUCCUCCUCCUUCCUCCUCCUCGGCGGCGUUCGGCAGAUUUUGUUCACCCAACAAAUGUUAAAUGCCAGCAGCCAGUAAUAACUGACACCUCUCCCUAAAUAAAGCACCGUUUUGAGGCAGCAU
rnacentral:lncRNA from 1 species